AUUGCUUCUGGGCCUUUUGGCUAAGAUCAAGUGUAGUCAUUAAAUUACAUGCUUCAGGAGCAUAAAGUAUUAUAUUUAUUUGUCUGAAGCCCAU
rnacentral:snRNA from 1 species